CCUGGGUCCAUCAAAUUCAACCGAACAGAGAUAAUCCUGCAGAACCUGCUCAGUUGCUUGUUCAAGAGAAGCAGCAUUGGCAACUUCUACACCGGGUGCAAAGUGGCCUCCCUGAGACCAAAGAAAGAUGGCUUAGCAACAGCUGUGGAUGCCGUGUGCACUCAUUGGAGAGACCCUACUAAAUCAAUUCCAGACAGAGAGACAGUCUACUAGGAAGUGAGCAAGCAGACACGUGGCAUCAGCAGGCUGGGCCCAUACACCCUGGAUAAGAACAGUCUCUACC